rnacentral:pre_miRNA from 1 species
UUACUGCUUCCACUUUCCUAUAGUUUAAUUUCUAACUGCAUUCUAUAGGAAAGUGGAAGCAGUAAGU